GCUGGGUUUAGAACGUCGUGAGACAGUUCGGUCCCUAUCUGCCGUGGGCGCUGGAGAACUGAGGGGGGCUGCUCCUAGUACGAGAGGACCGGAGUGGACGCAUCACUGGUGUUCGGGUUGUCAUGCCAAUGGCACUGCCCGGUAGCUAAAUGCGGAAGAGAUAAGUGCUGAAAGCAUCUAAGCACGAAACUUGCCCCGAGAUGAGUUCUCCCUGAGACUUUAAGUCUCCUGAAGGAACGUUGAAGACGACGACGUUGAUAGGCCGGGUGUGUAAGCGCAGCGAUGCGUUGAGCUAACCGGUACUAAUGAACCGUGAGGCUUAACCUUACAACGCCGAAG
rnacentral:rRNA from 2 species